CUCCUGUGAGCCACAUAUGCCGUGGCAGGGAGCCAGGCUCAAGAUGUCUUGAUGGUACCAUGUUGGCCACUUGUGGAGUAUCCUGAGGAACAGGAUCAAAAGGAAGGUCCUAUGAGGGCGUCAGAGAGUAGGCAGCCCACAUCCAGAAGAUUCGUCACGCAGAGACCCCCAUGAAAGCCGGAACGAAGUUCCACUCACUGAUGGCAUUGAUGGCUGCUUUACAACAGCAUAUGGAGUAUGACAUCUGACCUGACACCUAGCGCCCCAAAAAGGACAGGACAGGGGGCAGGGCACCUGCUGCUUCAGGGCAAAGCAGCAGGUGAGGGGGAAGAGGAAGGAAGAGUGCCAGCCAGACCCCGCUCCCCAUCCUUCCCUCCUGUGGGGUUUCUAGCUUGGGUCAGGCUGAGACAAGGAGAGGGAAGCAGACUGGAGCUGGCCGUGAGGCUGAAUUUUAUAGAAACAGCGCUGGACGUUUUCACACCUGAAAAUUACUCUUAAUUACAAAAGUUAACAGGAGAGCAAAGCCAUCUGUCUGAGAUGCUGAUAAGAGAAGGAAGGUGCAAUGGAGUUUGAAGGCCAUAGUAGAUGAAGACUCCUUUGUAAAUUGAUGACACCUUGGUCCCACUCCUCCAUCUUUGUGUCUGGAAUGUCCCACCCAAUACAGGAUCCUUUCUUUCCGCUGGAUAUGCGUUUUCCAGUCAAGCACCAUCCCUUUGGGAGCCGUCCCUCCCAGCAUCACAGGAGCUUGUUCCUGUGUUCCCGAUGGGGUUCACCUGGCCUCCCAGGGGUGGGCUCAUCUCCUGAGCUUGACCAAUCGGAGGACUCCACCCCCCUGACCUACCAAGAAAGAGUUGCCCCCAACUGUGUUUUGUUAGAUUCUGUAUUUGCCUAUUUGGCAUCCAUCCAUCACAGGGCCAACUAUAUUAACUAUAUUUGCUUAUUUUCUGUAUUCUUGAUGCUCUACCCUUUGUGGCCUCGCUGACUGGGGAGAGACAGGGCCAGCUAAUUCCUAGUGAUGGUAAAUAACUUGCUUGCAGACACGCCUUGCACAUGCAUCCAAGCAGUCCAAGCCCAUACUCAACCGCCCCCUUCACCUAACUCCCUCCCACCACACCUGGAAUCACCCAGGGCGGACGCCAGAAAUCCAGGCACAGCCCGACACCCCAGAGCCACCGGGAUUAUUCCCACUAGCCAGUGCCCAGCUGUCACCCUGCCCCACCUCGCCUGUGCCCUGGAAACCCACGAAGGCUCUGGCUAGACUUCCCCUCCCUUUGCUGCUUCUGCCUCCUGAUGGAAAUUGGUGCUUCCCUGCGCGGCAGGACACGCCCCUCCUCUCAGGAGCUGGUCGGCAUGUUACAAAGUAUUUGCACACCUGGGCUGCUCAAAGUGUGGCCGGCAGACAGUGCUGGUUCGUGAACUGUUUCUUAUUGAUUUGUGUCUAGUACAGAAAUUGAAGUCUUGAAAAUGGAGCUUCAACUCCACAAGCCUCGGUCCACUUGUAAACGAAGUGGAGACGGCAGCAUCUGCCUCAAUGUUUGCUGCAACAUUGCAUGUUGUAUCUGAG
ensembl:lncRNA